GACGAACGCUGGCGGCGUGCUUAACACAUGCAAGUCGAACGGAAAGGCCCUGCUUGCAGGGUACUCGAGUGGCGGACGGGUGAGUAACACGUGGGUGAUCUGCCCUGCACUUCGGGAUAAGCCUGGGAAACUGGGUCUAAUACCGGAUAGGAGCCAUUUUUAGUGUGAUGGUUGGAAAGUUUUUUCGGUGUAGGAUGAGCUCGCGGCCUAUCAGCUUGUUGGUGGGGUAAUGGCCUACCAAGGCGGCGACGGGUAGCCGGCCUGAGAGGGUGGACGGCCACAUUGGGACUGAGAUGCGGCCCAGACGCCUACGGGAGGCAGCAGUGGGGAAUAUUGCACAAUGGGCGCAAGCCUGAUGCAGCGACGCCGCGUGGGGGAUGACGGCCUUCGGGUUGUAAACUCCUUUCGCUAGGGACGAAGCUUUUUGUGACGGUACCUAGAUAAGAAGCACCGGCUAACUACGUG
rnacentral:rRNA from 1 species